rnacentral:sRNA from 1 species
UUUGGUGUACGGUACUUCCUUGUCGACC